rnacentral:lncRNA from 1 species
CUUUCUUUAAGUGAAAAGUUGAAAGUUCACGACUUUAUAAGGAGAGAAAAUCAAAGUCAAUGAGAAGGAGGAUCAUAGAGCUCACAAGAUUAGUGAGGGCCCCCCAGCAUUAGAAGCACAGAGCUACUAAAGAGAGAAGGACACAUGGAAGCAUUUUGCAGAAAUAGCCACACUACCAACUGUACUUCCUAAGCACAGAGAUCUAGAAAGAAGAAAAGUUCCUAAUUUUCAAG